rnacentral:misc_RNA from 1 species
AAAAAGAAGGAAAGGCUGGCGUCACUUUUGCAGAACAAAGAAUCGAGAAAUGUGCUCGUUGGUGUUUAAGGAAAAUAAAUAAAAAUCAUCGUCGAGUGUUUUAAGAUUCUGUUGUUGUUAGUGUGAGUCGUUGUGGAGGUCGAAUGUUUGUUGGCGGCGUCGUGAAGGAGGAGGGAGGAGGCUAAGGAGAAAGUGUGGCUGGGUUUCUUGCAUGUGGGUCACUUCGUUUGUAGUCAAAGAUGGCUUCCACUAAUGGCGAUGCAAGCUCUGUUCUCACGGCUUCGAGUCUCUCGUCAUCUGUGGCGAUGUCACAAGCUAGUACAACCGAAACACCAUCCAUCAUAACACCAUCCAUGUCCAAUUCGACUGCAUCGACCCCGGAAUCUCAGUCAACGACCACCAUCUCGACUGGCAGACAGAAUUCGCAGCCAUCGACCACUGGCGAAAUGAGUCGAAGCAACACAAUGCAACGAAUCGCCCACAAAAAGGCCAUGGUGAAAGGCUAUCCACGACCCAAGAAACUAGAGAAACUGGCCGUCUACUCCUCCUGCAAGACAGAAGGUUGUAACUGUAACGGGUGGAAGAACCCGAAUCCUCCACCAACUCCUCCACGUGUUGACGUUUCUCAGCCCCUUGCUAGUCUUACAGAUCCUUGCCGUAGCUGCAGCCACACCCUUGGAGCUCAUGUAUCUCAUUUGGAAAAUGUUGCUGAAGAAGAGCUGAAUCGCUUGCUGCGAAUUGUAGUUGAUGUUGAAAAUCUCUUCAUGUGUGUUCAUAAAGAGGAAGACACAGAAACCAAAAGGGUUUAUUUUCAUUUAUUCAAAUUAUUACGAAAAUGUAUAAUGAACAUGUGCAAACCAAGCAUUGAUAUGGCUAUUGGAACACCUCCGUUUGAAAAACCAAGUAUAGCUAAGGGUGUCACAAAUUUUGUACUUUAUAAGUUUGGUCACUUAGCUCAGAAAGAAUGGCAGACAAUGUAUGACCUUGCUAAAAUGUUCCUACACUGUAUGAACCACUGGAAAUUAGAGAACCCCACAUUACACACACAACACACGAACAUGGAUGACCGGAACAAUUACCAAAGCAAUUAUACAAGGUGGCUGUGUUAUUGUCAUGUACCAGCUUUAUGUGAUAGCCUUCCACGUUAUGAAACCACAUUGAUAUUUGGGCGCACCUUGUUACGGUCAGUAUUUGAAACAAUGCGCAGACAGGUUCUCGAUAAAUUCCGGGCUGAGAAAGAAAUGAUGCCACCAGAGAAAAGAACAUUAGUCCUAACUCAUUUCCCAAGGUUUCUGUCUAUGUUAGAAGAAGAAGUUUAUGGCAACAAUUCCCCUAUAUGGGAUCCAGAUUUCUGCCAAAGUACCACUGGGAUGUCAUUAUCACCUUCUAGAAUUUCAGGAAAUGCUUUCAUCGCAUCCGCUAAUGCUUCCACAGUUGGUGUAAACCGUUUCCCCAAUUCCACACCCACAACAAGUACAGCUUCAGGUACUGAGGGAUCCAAUACAGUAAAAUCAAAUUAUUCAACCCCAACCAACAGCCAUCCAACCAAAACAAAAGAUGGUGGUACUGGCGAUAAACGACACCUAGAUGAGAUUCAAACUUCAGAAGUGAUCAAAAAGAGAAAAAUUGAAGGAGAUGUUGAUCAAGAACUAGUUGCCGAAAUCGUCUCAUUGAUUACUGAUCCUGAACAUAUGGUGGGCCCAGAUAAGACCUUGUUUCCCACUCACGCUGCUCGUGAUGAAAUUGCCCGACAAGAAGAAGGUAAAGGAGUGAUUGAGUUCAAAGUUAUGGCUAAUACAUUCACUGAACGUCCAAGUCGAGAACAACUUAUCUGGUUGAUUGGUCUUCAGAAUGUUUUCUCCCACCAACUACCCAGAAUGCCUAGAGAAUAUAUUACCAGACUGGUGUUUGACCCGAAACAUAAAUGUUUGGCAUUAAUUAAAGAAAAUAGAGUCAUUGGUGGAAUUUGUUUCCGGAUGUUUCCAACUCAAGGCUUUACUGAAAUUGUCUUUUGUGCUGUUACUUCUAAUGAGCAAGUGAAAGGAUAUGGCACUCAUAUGAUGAACCACUUGAAAGACUAUCAUAUCCAACAUGGUAUCCUUCAUUUUCUCACAUUUGCGGACGAAUAUGCAAUUGGUUAUUUCAAAAAGCAGGGCUUCUCAAAGGAUAUCAAGUUACAAAAAUCUGCCUAUUUAGGUUAUAUCAAAGACUACGAAGGAGCAACUCUUAUGGGCUGUGAACUAAAUCCCCGUAUCCAUUAUACAUGCUUUUCACAAAUAAUUCGCCGACAGAAAGAGAUUGUCAAGAAGAUUCUAGAGAAAAAACAAGAACUUCAAGACAAAGUGUACCCUGGUAUUAGCUGCUUCAAAGAGGGUGUCCGUCAAAUUCCAGUGGAAAGUAUCCCAGGAUUACUGGAAGCUGGAUGGAAAACUAGUCCUAAUAACAAUAUUCAUUUGAUCAUUAAAUAGGAAAGAGCCUGAUCCUGAUCCCGAACGGCUACAGUCAGUUCUAAAAAUGAUUCUUUUGCAAGUGAAGAAUCACCAGAGUGCCUGGCCAUUU